rnacentral:snoRNA from 1 species
UAGUAUCUAUUAAGAACCCGGUCCUCAACAGUGCUAGAGCAUAAGGACUUGUUAUAACUGGGGCUCUUCAGCUCUCAACUGAACUGCUCUUUUAAAAACAAGGUACAUUA